AACAAAUAGACAUUAAUUGGUGUCCAAAUUUUGGGAGAAUAGGGAAGUCGAAAGAGGAUAAUGCUCUGAAACGACGCGGACCCACCACUGUACUCGGGAAUGAAACCUCAUUAUGCCACUGCGAUAACGUCAGCAGGAAGGCGAGGGAAUAAGAUGAACCGAAAGCCAGGAGACCUGCCAAUUAUGUACGAAUUGA
rnacentral:ncRNA from 2 species